GACGAACCGUGCGAACGUUGUUCGGAAUCACUGGGCUUAAAGGGCGCGUAGGCGGGCUCGCAAGUCAGGGGUGAAAGCCCGCGGCUCAACCGCGGAAGCGCCUUUGAUACUGCGGGCCUCGAGGGGGGUAGGGGCGUGCGGAACUUCCGGUGGAGCGGUGAAAUGCGUUGAUAUCGGAAGGAACGCCGGUGGCGAAAGCGCACUGCUGGACCUUUUCUGACGCUGAGGCGCGAAAGCCAGGGGAGCAAACGGG
rnacentral:rRNA from 1 species